GUUGGGAGAGUUUAUUUUUCUUCCCUUUGUUACAGACUUUUGGUAAAAAUCUUCUUUAUUUUUAUCUUAUCUCAUAUCUGAUAGAAGUAAUUGCGGGAUCCCUCUAUCCGUUGAUAUCCUUACAGGAAACAUCACAUAAAGAUCUGUCAACAUUGGUAGCCUUCCAGCUGUGGCGAGUUUUCUCAGAAUCUCAUCUACAGAAAGAUAUUGGAGUUCUUUCUUCUGCUCAUGACUCUAAUUAGCGGAUAAGAUCUUCAACCCCUGACAUAUCUGCGAGCUAUUAUGUACAAGCAUACACUCAACUCAUGAAGAGAAACAGAGAAUCUGUGGAAAAGCUCCUUGUUGACAGCCAAAUAGAGAGGUACGAGAGCAUGCUGCAUAUUUUCUGGAGGAGAUUAAUAUUUGCUGCAGAUUUUCGUGAUAGAUCCUAUUCAGAGGCAAACUCAAUCCAAAAGAGAAGAAACCGGAGGUAAAUCAAGUUCAACUCAGUCCAUUGCAAAGGUGCAUGCAGCCGUUCUUGGCUUGGUAGCUUCAGUUUUGUCUGUUCCUUAUGACAUACCCAGCUGGUUGCCGGAUCAUGUGACGUUACUGGCUCAUUUUGCUGGUGAACGUAUAAAAUCGAGUGUGACUAAAGCAGUAGCUGAG